ACCAAAAUGAGCUUUGCUGCCGGCGUGGCGGUGUUACUGUUAGUCCUCCGUGUUGCCCAGGACCCUGUGUGUUUCGUGGUUCCGGUAUGGCUGGUUAACCACCUUCGGGAAAAUACGAUCCUGUUGGCGAUGCUGUGAUUAUUUUAAUCCUUCCUUCUUAUUCUUUUUCUUUUUUGAUCCUGCAAGUGUACUCAGAGCGACAAUUUUAACAGGCUGUGAGAGUACUUAAUACCCAACGUAAAAUCUUGAAAAACAGGAACCCUGAAACCCACUAGCUUCCUCCGCCACUUUUCCGGCCUUGGAAAGACUUAUUUUAAAAAUUCUCUAGGCGUUUUCGCCGCUACCCGAGGGAGGUGUCCAACUCACUGACAAACUUUUUUUGCUAAUUGUCAAACUUUCUGUCAGCGCAAGAUCAACCUUAGCUUUAAAAUCUUAAAUUAAUCUCUACAUUUACCCCCUGCUGGCAAGCGAGUAGACUUACCAUUAGGAUCAAUUGAAUAAUAAUACUUGACAUUUAUAAAACAUUUCUAGUUUUAAAAUGGCAGCUCCAAGACCCACGCACAAGUUAUUCUGAUAGGAAAAAAAAACAAAAACAAAACAGAAUGAGUGUACUUUCCAUUACGUCACAGCUGUCGGUGUGGUUUAUCUAAAACAAAUCUGAUUACGGAUUUUAUCACUUCCCAGCUUACCUCCCCCACAACACACACACACACACACACACACACACACACACACACACGUUUCUCACCUCCAUAACUUGGUUCAUUCUAUCUUCUCUGCUUCGUGUGUACCGUACCCUACAUCACCUAGGUAACUUUUUAAAGAUUUCGCCUCAGGCUGUGUUUCUUUUAAACAGUUUUGAGAUAUAAUUUACAUAGCAUACAAUCUACCAAUUUAAAUUGUACAAUUAAAUGGUUUUUAGUGUACUCAAAGAGUUGUGCAGCCAUCACCAC
rnacentral:lncRNA from 10 species